AUUCAAGGGGUGCUCGCGGUUUCGCGGGCUGAGAUGAUACCCUCAAACCUGAUGCGGGUAAUGCCGACGUAGGGAUGAAGAGAG
rnacentral:ncRNA from 1 species